rnacentral:misc_RNA from 1 species
CACCAAAAUUUCAUUUAUCUCUAGGGAGGGAUUAGUGACAGCACAGACCGAUCUAAUGAAAUAGUUUUUCAUUCACAAGGGGAAAAAAAUUACUACAAGCUAAACAUCUUCAGGGAAACAGAAGAGAAUUAUCUACAGCGUAAAAUGCCUGGAAGAAUCAACUUAUGGACUGUAGCUGCGAUUGGUAGGAUAAAAACUUUUAAGGGUUUCUCAGAGCUGCCAACCUCUUAUCAAGUUCACCAAUGCCCGAACUGCCAACAUCUUCUUUAUUCUUCCCUGCAAUUUUACCCUUUGGUGCCGUUGACAACUGUGAGGCAACAUCAACACCAAUUUCAUCUAGCACUUGAUUCGUCAACUCAUCAGUCUCCUCUUCAGC